AUACGUAGGGGCCAAGCGUUGUCCGGAGUUACUGGGCGUAAAGCGUGCGCAGGCGGCUCGUUGCGCCCGACGUGAAAGCCCCCGGCUCAACCGGGGAGGGUCGUCGGGGACGGGCGAGCUUGAGGGUGUCAGGGGCUGGUGGAACUCCCGGUGUAGUGGUGAAAUGCGUAGAGAUCGGGAAGAACACCCGUGGCGAAGGCGGCCAGCUGGGACACACCUGACGCUGAGGCACGAAGGCGUGGGGAGC
rnacentral:rRNA from 1 species